CCAGGGUGUCUGCUGUGUUCUUCUGGGUCCUUGCCCAGAAAACAGGUAUCCAAAAGGCCCCCUUCCUGGGUAAACAGAGCAGUCUCAUGCAAGAGGAAUGAGACCGAAACUUGGCUGUAAGGCUGCCGCUCGUACCUGAGGGGUAGGGGACAUGGGUCCACUGGAGCCCCAUUUGGUCAAACGACCAACACCAGCCGUGUAAACAUUCUUACCACACGCCCAGUGCAAAGUAACUGCCUGAAAGUGGAGCCGCCCCUCUUGGAGAUUUCUCACCUGGGCUCCGCGUUCCCUGCGUUUCGCCAAGAGUGUAUCAGCCAGGCCAGCCUGGAGGAAGGAAGGAAGGUUCUGGAUUCUGUUUCCGGUUUUGCUGUUCUCUUGGCCAAACGUUGCCUGUUUCUGAAGCUCAGUCCUGCCCACCCCCCAAUCUAACUGAUCUGCACAGGGAUGUCUUCUGGGAGGCAACGCGGGUUCGUGAAAUGGCCACUGGUGGUGCACACAGGGUUCAAACACCAGCCGGAUGCUGAACCUUGUGGGGCUCUGGCCUGGUUACUGAGCAUCUCUGGCGUCUUCAUCUGCAAGAUGUAUCAUGGGUGUGUGUGUGUGUGUGGAUGAGAUCGUGACAGUUGUGUGCAUAGAUGGUGUAGAGGCCCUCAGUCUGAGCCUGCUGUGAGCCCAGGGGCAGAGGACUGCGCUGGAGACCCCAGACUAGACCUUUCUCUGCUCCAUGUGACAUUGGGGACCCUCCCAAGACCUACUUUUCUGGAAAAGAGAGUUGCAGACAAGGCUCA